rnacentral:rRNA from 1 species
CCUACGGGAGGCAGCAGUGAGGAAUCUUGGUCAAUGGACGCAAGUCUGAACCAGCCAUGCCGCGUGCAGGAAGACGGCUCUAUGAGUUGUAAACUGCUUUUGUACGAGGGUAAAUCCCGAUACGUGUAUCGGGUUGAAAGUAUCGUACGAAUAAGGAUCGGCUAACUCCGUGCCAGCAGCCGCGGUAAUACGGAGGAUUCAAGCGUUAUCCGGAUUUAUUGGGUUUAAAGGGUGCGUAGGCGGUUCGAUAAGUUAGCGGUGAAAUCCCGGGGCUGAACUCCGGCACUGCCUCUGAUACUGUCGGGCUAGAGUUGAGUUGCGAUAGGCGAAAUGAAAGGAGUAGCGGUGAAAUGCAUAGAGAACAUACAGAGCACCGAUUGCGAAGGAAGCAGACCGGCGCUCAACUGACGCUCAUGCACGAAAGUGUAGGUAUCGAACAGGAUUAGAUACCCAAGUAGUC